UUUUCUUUCUAGCUCUUACCUAGAUAGAUAUUUUGGUCCCUUGAGAGUCUAUUACCCAGUAACUGGUAAUAUUCUUCUUAGUUUGCAGUUUGUUACUUCUUGCCCAAUACCCGGCAAAAGUACCCUUAUUUUUUUCUCCUCAGUAGAGUCCCCAGUGGAUCUAUUCCCCAGGAAGUAUAUCCUUGAUAUCUCCAUCCUAAUUGG
rnacentral:lncRNA from 1 species